UUGUGAGGCCACUGAGGAGACUAUUAAUCAAUAAAACAAAGAGUCGUUAAUGAGAACCGCUCCGGUUUCCACCACAGAAGCGUCCUCCUGAGGUCAGAGGAGGAGUUGAAGGACGUUUGGUUUAAUCACCCGGACGACCUGCCGCCGCAGACGCCUCGACACGGAAGACGAUACAGAGGGAGAGCGUGUUCACACUCACCACCACUCUGACGUGCUUGGACAAAUCCCUCGAGCUCCUCUGGAGGAAAUCUGAGAACGCGGCCUGCAGAGACGCACACACACACACACACACACACACACACACGCACACACGCACACACACACGCACAGAGGAAAGGGAACCCAAUCAAACAGAAUUGAAGUGCAUCAAAUGUUCCUCAUUGAAUGCGUGCUCCCACACUUCAUUUAUUCCUCACGUCUCUCAUUCUCUGUCAGGCUCACGAUUUGAAUUUGAAGAAAUUAAAAAACACAAAGAAGAAGCUGGAAAAUGUGGCAAAGUGUAUGGCUGACCUUCUGCGUCCCCUCCUCCGGCUGCUCGGCGCCUUUCUCCACGUGGAGGUUCCACCUGUCCAGCUGCACCACCGACCCGUCCUCCACGUGGCACAGCACCUUGGACACCGGCUCGUCCGUGUAACCCUUCGGACGGAGAGAGACAAUAAACAACACCCACAGGUGUCUCUAACGGGACGGGGUCCAGUGUGCCAAGGACUGCACUGCAACAACGGAGAAAACUAAAAAGCCUCUCAAACGCACUGGCAUGGACGGACAAGUACAAGGGGGGGGGGGGGGGGGGGCUGGGGGACGUCCUGCCGC